GGAGAAGAGGCGGGUGCGGCAGGAGGAGAGGAGAGCAGAGAUGAAAUCACGGCAUGAUGAAAUCCGAAGAAAAUACGGCCUGUUCAAGGAAGAGAACCCUUACGCAAAAUUUGAGAAUUAGCAUCUCCAGACACACCCACCCACCCUGGUGAACAGUGCCUUCUGCAGAGCCAAAAGUCUCCAGGCUUCCCCCCACCACCAUGGUGCCACUUCAACUGCCACAGAAGAUGACCCAAAUCCUUGGUGACACCAUUGUCCCCACUCCAGGUGCUUGGUCUGCCCAGACUUUGCUCUUGCCCUGCUGGUGCAAGAAACCAUGGUGACAAUACUGGAAGAUGGGGCAUUUUUUCCUCACUCACCCCAGGGUGGUUGUGGUGUCCAAAGCAAUGCACAUAACAGCCCUUGUCCCAGCCAAGGGCAAAAGCAAUGUCACACAUCUCCCUCACUCCUGCCUCACCAAGAACACUUCAUGCACACAGAGCUAGCCUCUUCUGCUCUUCCUCCCCCUCUUUUUUUUUUUCUUUUAGUAUAUGCAAAAGCCAGCAAGAGUUUCCUGACGUAAGGGCUAGCAGGAGGCUUUGGCUGUCACUCCAGGUGCAUGCACUUAUCCCAGCACAUUAGCAGUCCUCUCAAAGAGCACAAGUUUCUGGUGA